rnacentral:rRNA from 1 species
CCUACGGGGGGCUGCAGUGGGGAAUAUUGCGCAAUGGGCGAAAGCCUGACGCAGCGACGCCGCGUGAGGGAUGAAGGUCUUCGGAUCGUAAACCUCUGUCAGCAGGGAAGAACGGUCACUGUGCUAAUCAGCAGUGAAUUGACGGUACCUGCAAAGGAAGCACCGGCUAACUCCGUGCCAGCAGCCGCGGGAAUACGGAGGGUGCGAGCGUUAAUCGGAAUUACUGGGCGUAAAGCGCUCGUAGGCGGUAUGUCAAGUCAAGGGUGAAAUCCCCGGGCUCAACGUGGGAACAGCCUUUGAAACUGGCGAGCUGGAGUGUGAGAGAGGAUAGUGGAAUUCGAGGUGUAGGAGUGAAAUCCGUAGAUAUCGGGAGGAACAUCGGUGGCGAAGGCGACGAUCUGGCACAUAACUGACGCUGAGGAGCGAAAGCGUGGGUAGCAAACAGGAUUAGAUACCCGGGUAGUC